CGCAGUUUGGUGGCAGGGGAGGGAGGGGAGCCGAGCAGCAGUGUAGGAAAAGAGGAGGAAGCAGCAAGGAUGGCGGAGUCACACCUCUGAAGCAAAUCUUCGAAGGAUUAAAAAAAACCUUGAUGACCUUUGCAGCCCGAAAUAACUUAUAUCCGAAGGUCCUGGGAUAGUAUGCAGUUCAAACACUAAAGCAUGUGGCCCAUGGGUGCCACAGUCCUGCUACUUCAAAGGAUUUUUUCUCCCAUGCCAUUUUAACAAAGGAACAAAGUAUCCAAAAAAACCUUUGGAUCACAAGGCAUUUAUUUCAAGGAUAAUCAUAAAUGUGUGGACCUGUACGGGGAUGUUUUCUUUAAAAGCCUACUUGGCUGUAUGUGUCCCUUUUUCCCCGAAUAAGUAACCUAACAAGAGACUCCCAUGAGCAACUCUGCAGGAGGCCCGAUAACGUCGACAUGAGUAGUACUUUAGGCAAAGAAAAAGAUUCGAAAGAAAAGGACCCCAAAGGUGGUCCAGCGGGGAAAGAAAGGGAAAAGGAGGCCAAGGCUCUAGCUGGCUUAGUCAAAGAUGGUGGCAAAGAAACGAAGACCAAAGGGAAUGCCAAAGAAGGAAAGAAGGACACCAGCAGCUCAACACCAGGUGUUGCCUUCUCUGUUGACAACACGAUAAAGCGGCCAAACCCGGCACCAGGUACGCGCAAGAAGUCCAGCAAUGCCGAGGUGAUCAAAGAGCUCAACAAGUGCCGGGAGGAGAACUCGAUGAGACUGGACCUAUCUAAACGGUCCAUUCACAUGCUGCCCACCUCCAUCAAGGAAUUGACGCAGCUGGCUGAACUCUACUUAUACAGCAACAAGCUGCAGAGCCUGCCGGCUGAGGUGGGUUGCCUAUCAGGCCUGGUCACUUUGGCUCUGAGUGAGAACUCCCUGACCAGUUUGCCUGACUCCCUGGACUCCCUUAAGAAGCUUCGAAUGCUCGACCUCCGGCACAACAAGCUGAGAGAGAUCCCAGCUGUUGUCUACCGGCUGACAUCUCUGACCACGCUGUACCUGCGCUUCAACCGCAUCACAACCGUGGAGAAGGACAUUCGAAACCUAUCCAAGCUCACUAUGCUCAGCAUUCGUGAGAACAAGAUUAAACAGCUGCCUGCAGAGAUAGGGGAGCUAUGCAACCUCAUAACUCUGGAUGUUGCCCAUAACCAGUUGGAGCACCUACCGAAGGAGAUCGGGAAUUGCACACAGAUAACCAACCUCGACUUGCAGCACAAUGAGCUCUUGGACCUCCCAGAGACUAUAGGCAACCUGGCAAGCAUAAAUCGCUUAGGUCUGCGAUACAAUAGAUUGUCAGCCAUCCCCAGAUCAUUAGCCCAAUGUCGAGAACUGGAGGAGCUAAACCUUGAAAACAACAACAUUUCGGUGUUGCCGGAGGGCCUACUGUCAAGUUUGGUCAACCUGACCAGUCUAACACUGGCGAGGAACUGCUUCCAGUCAUACCCUGUGGGUGGACCAUCCCAGUUCUCCACCAUCUACUCCCUCAACAUGGAGCACAACCGCAUCAACAAGAUCCCCUUUGGCAUCUUCUCCAGGGCCAAAGUGUUAAGCAAGCUUAACAUGAAGGACAACCAGUUAACAUCUCUGCCAUUGGACUUUGGCACAUGGACGAGCAUGGUCGAGCUUAACCUGGCCACCAAUCAGCUGACAAAGAUCCCAGAGGACGUCUGUGGUUUAGUCUCUCUGGAGGUGUUAAUAUUGUCCAAUAAUCUUCUCAAGAAGUUACCACACGGUAUUGGGAAUUUGAGAAAGCUACGGGAGCUCGACUUGGAGGAAAACAAGUUGGAAUGUUUACCUAAUGAAAUUGCUUAUCUUAAAGAUUUACAGAAAUUGGUGUUGACAAAUAAUCAGCUGUCCACGUUGCCCAGAGGCAUCGGUCACCUCACCAACCUGACUCAUCUUGGUUUGGGGGAGAACCUGCUGCAACAUCUCCCAGAGGAGAUCGGUACACUGGAGAACUUGGAGGAACUGUACCUCAACGACAACCCCAACCUGCGCAGCCUCCCGUUCGAGCUGGCCCUCUGCAGCAAGCUGUCCAUCAUGAGCAUCGAGAACUGUCCCCUCAGCCACCUGCCUCCCCAGAUUGUCGCGGGAGGCCCCUCCUUCAUCAUCCAGUUCCUCAAGAUGCAGGGACCGUACCGUGCCAUGGUCUGAGCCAAGAGCAGCUCAAUCGCAGUCCUACUUAACUCCAAACCCUCCACUUGCUCUGCACCCUCUCGCCUGCCCGCCCCCAUUACGUGUAUCAUACACUGUAAAGAAAACAGACUCGCCACAAUCAGUGUCGGGGGCAAAUACGAGGAGGAGGAAGAGGAAGAGGAAGAGGAGGAAGAGGAGGAAGAAGAAGAAGAGGAGGAGGAGGAGGAGGAGGAGGAAGAGGAAGAGGAAGAAGAAGAAAAUGUUUCUUUCACCAUCCUUGGGCAGAAACGAGGCGAAUCGUCGGAGACUUGACUUCUGUGUUACUCCAGAGUUUAUCACGGUCAUUUUAGGACCCCAGCCACCCCCGCUCAUGUUUCAUUCCGAAUCAUACAAGAGGAAAAUAUUUCCAUCUCUUUGCCAAAACUGAAGAUAUAUAAAGUUAUAUAUAUUGAGUAACUGUGAGCUAAGUGGCAAGUCUUUUAACCAUAUAAACCGUGCUCCCAUUGCCAAUGUAUUUACAGUAAUUACAAGCAUCUAUUAUGUGAGCAAGGAUACAAUUGUAUGCAAAAACAAACAAAAAAAGUCUUUGGAACUUCACAUUUACUGCUGCUGCCGUAAUUUUAACUUUGUCAUCUUGUUAUAUUUUCUUUUGAUAUUCACUUUUUUCCUUUUACAUCACCUUCGCUCAAGAUAACUUAUGUUAACUGCUUCUUGACCAGAGAGAACAAAGGUCUAAUGAUGGCGUGUUUAUCAUUUAUUUUUUGUAUUUUUUCUUUUUUUUUCCUUUUAAUUUUUUCUUUUACCUCUUCUGUUUAUUUUCAAAAACUGUGCCUAUGUUUAGAAUGAUCCAGUGGUUCAUUUCUAAACACAAUUGUCCAUGAGAAUACAAAGAUAUAAAUUAUUUCAAUAAUUCAUUUUUUAUUACUGCUGUUUUUACUUUAAUUUUUUCCUUUUCUUUAGUUUUACUUUUGCUGUUGAAAUUAAUCUGUUAAAGCAAGCGAUAUCAGUUGUAAAAUAGGGCGAUUGGAGAUCUUUUUAACAAAUAGCAGCAGUAGUUGUUAAACAUUAAGCUAGUUAUGUAUACAUAUGAGAAAUGCCAAUCAUAAAUGCUUGAAGAAAAAAAGCAAGAUGGACUUGUCUCAAACGGGUGGUCCUGUGACCCCUGUCAAUAUUGCUUUUGUGUGACAAAAGAUAUUGGAAAAAAGUCAAACCUGGGUGUGAUGGGAUAAAUGAUGAGGAGAUGUUUUUAUAUAUGUAUACAAAUCCUGGUUGUUGCCUUGAGUGCAAUUUUUAGUUAUGUUUACUGGUUUGAUAUUAUCUUCAGUGUUGGGCUGCAUAGUUGUCAUUCAAUUGAUCAUUGACCAACAUAUCAAGCAUUUUAAAAAGACGUUAUCUGGGUCUCCUGAGCGAGUGGUGAGUGUAUCAGAGCUUCAAAAAGGUUUGAUAAUAAAACAUUGACAGGUAACCACUUCCCUUUUUGUUUUGUUUAAUAUUGUUAAUUUUUCAGGUUUUUUUUUGACGGGGUGUCAUAAGAAUCUUAAUUACAUGAUGGAAAAUGUUACCUUGAUUUAGAUUUGCAAUUUUAUUUAAUUUUUUUUAAUAUCUUCUUUUGUCCCACACUGUCCCAGCAAUGCUGCUGCUCUUAUGCACUUUUUUAAAAAGACGUUGGCAUCCUCUAUAUUAAACACACAGUAGCCUCUCAUUGGUUAUUUUGAAUGGGGGCAUUUUGUUUCAUAAAGUAUUUUAUCUGUUUACCAAACGGUUUAUCAUGUAAAUUUGUAUCGAUUUUAAAUAUAAAUGUUGAGUUUAGCGGGCUCAGAAUAUACUAGUAACUUUCUUUGGGGAAGUUUUAUCCUGUCAAUCUUAAAAUGAUCUUGCUCUCUUGUCAAAGGUCUGUGUGGCUAUGACAUGUUUUAAGAUUCCCAUAUCCUGCUUUCUCCAUGGCAAGUGAAAUGGCUUAUUGCAGUUCAGAUCGUUUAUUUGAAAUCAAUUUGCAUUGAAUGUUUUUUUUAAAUGAUGAAAUGUGUAUUCAUUUAGUAUUAUUUCAAGUGACUGUACAUUAAAAAUCCCAACAAAAGGUAAUCAAACCAAAAAUAUUUUUUCCAUUUUGAAACCGUUGCUUCCCAGCUCUAUAUUCAAUCAUGAUUCUGUUUUGUAUUGAAACGUGUGGGUCUACUUUUCUUGCAGCAGCUUGGUGUGUUUUAGUGGGCUGUGGUUCGGUCUCCUCCAGGGGAGUGAUGAGAGCGCCACAGCUCACCUCGGGGUGGGGAACGAUGUACCGCUGCUUCUGAUUUACCAGCAGAACCUGUUGCUGCUUUUCGUGGACUGAAACAUAUGCUGUACAAGACGGGGAGGGCGGGGGGGCGGGAAGCGGUCCACUCCCAACACUGAUACAGACUUCACUCGUAAACCUGACCAGGGACAAAUCCACUGACCUUUUCGAUUUGCCGUCAGGCCCGGUGGUUUUUCUCACAGAUCAAAUCGUUUGGACACAACGAUGAGACGACACAACAAGGUUGAGGAUGCCAGUGUAUGAAGACGCAGAGGAUGUUGGGAGGUGGGGGCACAAACUGAACUUGGCUAAUCGACCGGAGAGCAUUUAUCUGAUCCUGGAAUGUAGUUUUGAUGUGCUGGGGAGGAAACCGAGCUCACCGACUGGCACGCUCAGUUGAAGGUGUGACUUGUUGGAUCAAAAAGAUGACAACGUAUGGUGCAUCCAAAAUAAUUGGAGUAUAAUUGGUGUUUAUUUUUCUAUCGUCUGUGAUUUAAGGCCGUGGAGAGCGUCGCAGAAUCAAAGUCAUUUUGCUCCUUUUGCUUUUUAUUCUGGAUCAUACAUGUCUUUCUUGCCUGGUUAUUUUGUACAGGAAACAAGCAUGUUGAACACACAUUUGACAUGAUUUGUCUGGGUCAGAAUUGGGCGUUUCUUUGCAUAGAGGACUUGGAUUUAGUGGCUAUUUGGUGUAUCUGCAAAUGCUCCCUUUUUGUAUAGUGCAAAGGGUAUCGAAGCAUUGUGUGGCAAUGCUUAUCCUACUUAAUCUACAUUGACAAGCAGCCUUAAUGGUCUUUUUUUAUGUGUUUGUUUGGCUAUUCCUUGUGUCUAUGGCCACUGACUGUACUUGAUGACAAGCAACUGGUCGUUACAAUGUAAAUUUGGGUCUAGUUUCUUUCUGUCUAAUUUUUCCUUUUUACGCUGUACAGUAAUCUGACGUUACAGUAGACUCAGUAUUACAAAAUCUGUAAUGUGAUGAGAGUUUUACAAAAAGACAGUGCAAUCGAAGAUAAUGCCAUUAUGCUACCGAGUGGAUGUGCAUUAGCUUACGUCUCACUUGUCUUUGGCAUUAAAGGGGAAUUCCACCAAAACUGAGUUGCAUUGUUAUUCAGCAAAAGAUCUUUUUCAACAGAAAUUACAAAGAUGUGUUUUUUUUUUUAAUGUUUUUCUCACAAGUCAUAUCAGGUUUGAGUAAUAAGAUAAGACAUCAUAGUCUGAGAUUGUUAAUAAAACUUUAAUAGAUAUACUUUUUCUUUUUUUAACCACAUCUUGAUUUAAAAAACAUUUGAAAUGGUUCAGGUCGAUGUGGUGCGAACACGUUCUUCAUCUUGAGAGCACAUAACUACAUAAAUCAACGCUUUUGUAAUUAAACAGUCACUUUUGGUGGAAAGUCCCUUUUAAUGUAAAGCCGCCAGCUCUUUCUCUUAACCCCCCCCCCCCCACCCCCGCUAUAGUAUCUCCACACAUUUACUUGUCUGCCUUAUGCGCACCAAGCAAAACCUUUAUGACCGUUUUGAUUUAAUCAACAAAGACAGAUAAUCACUCUUAUGCUUUUCUUUCUUUAAUGUCAGUAAAGGGAUCUGGGUCCACGGAUUGAACAGAUGUUGAAAGUUUUUGGGUCAGUCUUGACUGGACGAGCAGAUGCAGACAUGACUACCUCUAUGCGAGUCUUCAUUGCUAACCACAGUGACCAAGAUCCAGUCUGAGGUGUUUCUACCUGUGUACAUACAAGGCCGCGUGUUGCCAGCAGGAACUUUGGAUUUGGACGAGCAAUUCAACCACAAUUUGUUUUACUAAGCAUCCUUCUGUUUAUUUUUGGUUUUAUGCCUUUACUAAGUAUUAUUUGGCAAAUGAAGAGGACAAAUUUGUGUGCUUGGUUGUAAAUGACAAAUUUAAUCAAUGCCGCCCCAUUGUAAGACAGUUAUCCUGAAACCAACUAGUUGCAAAGUGCUACUUUGCAAAUGAGUGAAAAUGACCAUGUUUGGUGAUGUUCUGUAUGUACAUACAUCUUUUUAACUGUAAUAAACCGAUAAAUAUUUACAAGUU